GUAGGGGGCAGGCGUUGUCCGGAUUUAUUGGGCGUAAAGAGCGUGUAGGCGGUUCGGUAGGUCCGUUGUGAAAACUCGAGGCUCAACCUCGAGACGCCGAUGGAAACCCUCGAACUAGAGUCCGGAAGAGGAGAGUGGAAUUCCUGGUGUAGCGGUGAAAUGCGCAGAUAUCAGGAAGAACACCCGUGGCUAAGGCGGCUCUCUAGUACGGUACUGACGCUGAGACGCGAAAGCGUGGGGAGCGAACAGGAUUAGAUACCCUGGUAGUCCACGCCGUAAACGGUGGGUGCUAGGUGUGGGGGGUGUCAACUCCCUCCGUGCCGAAGCUAACGCAUUAAGCACCCCGCCUGGGGAGUACGGCCGCAAGGCUA
rnacentral:rRNA from 1 species